UCCCAUUCGACACGGGCAGUCCGACUAGAGUGCCUUCUUUCGAAGUUGCAACUAAUCGCAAGGGUUUCGCUCGUUACGGGACUUAACCCAACAUCUCACGACACGAGCUGACGACAGCCAUGCAACACCUGAUGGAGGCUUCCCUUUCGGGAUCGUCACCGUUUCCGGUUCCUACUACCCCCACUUCAAGCCCGGGUAAGGUUCUUCGCGUUGCAUCGAAUUGAACCACAUGCUCCACCGCUUGUGCGUGCCCCCGUCAAUUCCUUUGAGUUUUAACCUUGCGGCCGUACUCCCCAGGCGGGACACUUAACGCGUUAGCUGCAGCAAAGAGGGGCAAGCCCCCCUCACUCAGUGUCCAUCGUUUACGGCUGGGACUAC
rnacentral:misc_RNA from 1 species